AGCAGAAGAGGAGAGGAGGUUGUGUAGGACAAGCUGCUCCCGACAGAAGGAUGUCGCUGCUGAGCCUGCCCUGGCUGGGCCUCAGACCGGUGGCAACGUCCCCAUGGCUACUCCUGCUGCUGGUUGUGGGCUCCUGGCUACUCGCCCGUGUCCUGGCUUGGACCUAUGCCUUCUAUAACAACUGCCGUCGGCUCCAGUGUUUCCCACAGCCCCCAAAACGGAACUGGUUUUGGGGUCACCUGGGCCUGAUCACUCCUACAGAGGAGGGCUUGAAGAACUCGACCCAGAUGUCGGCCACCUAUUCCCAGGGCUUUACGCUGCCAUUGCGCCCAAGGAUGAUCUCUCCAUCAGGUUCCUGAAGCCCUGGCUGGGUGAGUACCUGCAGGUGAAAGGGGUUGGGGACAACCUUGCAGGGAGGGUGGGGGAAGUGCUGCUCUUGCCCACUGUCCUUGGCUGCCCUACUAGGAGAAGGGAUACUGCUGAGUGGCGGUGACAAGUGGAGCCGCCACCGUCGGAUGCUGACGCCCGCCUUCCAUUUCAACAUCCUGAAGUCCUAUAUAACGAUCUUCAACAAGAGUGCAAACAUCAUGCUUGUGAG
rnacentral:sRNA from 1 species